UCAGGCCUAACACAUGCAAGUCGAGGGGCAGCAUGGUGUAGCAAUACACCGAUGGCGACCGGCGCACGGGUGAGUAUCGCGUAUGCAACCUGCCUGCUACUGGGGAAUAGCCCUAAGGAAUUGGGAUUAAUACCGCAUAAUACAGGGAUUCCGCAUGGAAAUAUUUGUUAAAGAUUUAUCGGUAGUAGAUGGGCAUGCGUUCCAUUAGCUUGUUGGAAGGGUAACGGCCUACCAAGGCUACGAUGGAUAGGGGAACUGAGAGGUUGGUCCCCCACACUGGGACUGAGACACGGCCCAGACUCCUACGGGAGGCAGCAGUGAGGAAUAUUGGUCAAUGGGCGAGAGCCUGAACCAGCCAAGUCGCGUGAAGGAUGAAGGGUCUAUGGCUUGUAAACUUCUUUUGUCCGGGAGUAUAGCGCGGGACGUGUCCCGCUUGGAAAGUACCGGGGCGAGGGGAGCAUCGGCUAACUCCGUGCCAGCAGCCGCGGUAAUACGGAGGAUGCAAGCGUUAUCCGGAUUUAUUGGGUUUAAAGGGUGCGCAGGCGGGGCGUUAAGUCAGCGGUGAAAGAUACAGGCUCAACCUGUAAAAGGCCGUUGAAACUGGCGCUCUUGAGAAUGGAUGAAGCAGGCGGAAUUAGUGGUGUAGCGGUGAAAUGCUUAGAUAUCACUAAGAACUCCAACAGCGAAGGCAGCUUGCUAACGCAUAUCUGACGCUCAGGCACGAAAGUGUGGGUAUCAAACAGGAUUAGAUACCCUGUAGUCCACACUGUAAACGAUGAUUACUAAUUGUUUGCGAUACACCGCAAGUAACCAAGCGAAAGCGAUAAGUAAUCCACCUGGGGAGUACGCCGGCAACGGUGAAACUCAAAGGAAUUGACGGGGGCCCGCACAAGCGGAGGAACAUGUGGUUUAAUUCGAUGAUACGCGAGGAACCUUACCCGGGAUUGAAAUGCUGCGGAAAGACGGGGAAACCCGACUGCCAGAAAUGGCCGCUGCGUAGGUGCUGCAUGGUUGUCGUCAGCUCGUGCCGUGAGGUGUCGGCUUAAGUGCCAUAACGAGCGCAACCCACAUCGGAAGUUACUAACAGGUAAUGCUGAGGACUCUGCCGAGACUGCCGGCGUAAGCUGAGAGGAAGGUGUGGAUGACGUCAAAUCAGCACGGCCCUUACAUCCGGGGCGACACACGUGUUACAAUGGCCGGUACAGAGGGAUGCCAUCAGGCGACUGAGAGCUGAUCCAUAAAACCGGUCCCAGUUCGGAUUGGAGUCUGCAACUCGACUCCAUGAAGCUGGAUUCGCUAGUA
rnacentral:rRNA from 1 species